rnacentral:SRP_RNA from 1 species
GCCGGGCGCAGUGGCGCGUGCCUGUACUUGGGAUGCUGAGGUGGGAGGAUCACUUGAGUCCAGGAGUUCUGGGCUGUAGUGUGCUAUGCCGAUCGCAUAGCUACACUAAGUUCGGCAUCGGUCUCUAGGAGCAGGAGACCACCAACUUGCCUAAGGAGGGGUGAACCAGUCCAGGUUGGAAACAGAGCAGGUCAUAAAUCCUGUGCUGAUCAGUAGUGGGAUUGUGCCUAUGAAUAGCCACUGCACCCCAGCCUGGGCACCAUAGCAAGACCCCGUCUCUG